rfam:Ornithorhynchus anatinus chromosome 3, whole genome shotgun sequence.
CUCUUCUCAGUGUCGCACCUGGUGAGUUUCCAGUACUCUACCAGUCUCAAUUACCAGAGGGAGAGUCAAGCAGAGGCCUACCCAUUCCAUUCCUAGCUUGGGCAGUGGCUAGCUAGAGGAAGGCAAUCUGCUACAGAA